AUGGCGGCCAGGAAACCCCAGCGAACCCCAGAGGAGAUCGAAGACGUCAUUCUCCGCAAGAUCUUCCUCGUCUCCCUCGCAAACCCUGUCGAAAACGACCCUAAAGUCGUCUACUUGGAGCUCACCGCCGCCGAGAUCCUCAGCGAGGGCAAGGCCCUCAUGCUGUCCCGGGACUCAAUGGAGAGAGUCCUUAUCGAUCGCCUCUCCGGCGAUUUUCCUGGCGCCGAGCCCACCUUCUCCUAUUUGAUCGGCUGCUAUCGUCGGGCAUAUGAGGAGGGGAGGAAGGUGGCCUCGAUGAAGGACCCAUCGGUCCGAUCGGAGAUUGAAUCUGCUGUCACACAAGCUCGCAAAUUGGUCGUCUCCUAUUGCAGGAUUCACGUCGGCAAUCCUGAUAUGUUUGUGCCUACAGGUGGAGUUGGUGGUUCUGUGACUUCCCAGCUCCUGUCGUUGAUCUUCUCGGAGGUUUCGAACCCGAUGGAUGGGUUCGGGGGAAACAGCUUAGGCGGGGAGUUGAGCUGUCCCCCAAGAUUUUUGGAGGAAUUCUUUAGGGAUGCGGAUGCGGAGAGCUUGGAGCCGAUUAUGUUGGACCUGUUUGAGAAAUUGAAGCAGAGUGUUGAUCGGGUUUCGGCAUUAGGAAACUUUCAGCAGCCAUUGCGAGCACUGCUGUUGUUAGUGGGUUUUCCAAAUUGUGCCCAGGCUCUGGUGAAUCACCCCAGGUGGAUCCCGAAAGAGACUUACUUGCUGAUUGGGGAGGGCCGGGUGAUUGAGAUAGCGAGUAUUUUAGGAGCUUUUCUUCAUGUCAGCGCACUGCCUGACUACAAGGAGUUUAAGAGUAAACCAGAUGUUGGCCAGCAAUGCUUUUCUGAAGCAUCAACACGUCGUCCAGCUGAUUUGUUAUCAUCUUACACAACAAUCAGGACAGUCAUGAAUAUUUUAUAUGAUGACCUUGGAGAAGUCUUCCUUGCCUUACUGAAAAAUGUGGAUACACGGGAAAAAGUUCUUGAAUAUCUUGCUGAGGUGAUUAAAAAAAACUCAGCAAGGUCUCGCAUGCAGGUUGAUCCGAUAUUAUGUGCCAGUACUGGAAUGUUUGUGAAUCUUAGUGCUGUAAUGCUUCGGCUUUGUGAACCCUUUCUAGAUGCAGCCACAACAAAAAGGGACAAAAUUGAUGUAAACUAUUUAUUUUAUAACAAUCGUCUAGAUUUCAAACAAUUGACAGCAAUGCAUGCAUCAUCUGAAGAGGUUGCAGCAUGGAUAGAUAAUGAAAAUUGUGAGAAGACUGAUGGGCAUGUCAAUAACGUUGGGGAAGAUAACCGUGUAUUAGAAUCCAAGGAAGCUACAAGUUCUGGUGGUAAUGGUGGCCUUUCUAAUGCCAAGCCAUUGAUGGGUUGUUCAAGAAAGAGUAAAUAUUCAUUUAUAUGUGAAUGUUUCUUUAUGACUGCAAGAGUACUUAACUUGGGUCUUAUGAAAGCACUAUCAGACUUCAAACAUCUUGCUCAGGAGCUGGCAAGGUAUGAAGAAGAUUUGUCAACCUAUAAAGCCAUGAGAGAUGAAGGAGCUUCACCCCAACUUGAGGCUGAUAUAAAGCGUCUGGAGAAAGCAAUUGAGAUAUUGUCACAGGACAAACUCUGCUAUGAAGCUCAGAUACUAAGAGACGGGGUCCUACUUCAACGCACUCUAUCUUUCUACAGAUUAAUGGUUGUAUGGUUGGUUGGUCUAGUUGGUGGAUUUAAAAUGCCGUUGCCAUCAAAAUGCCCUAUGGAAUUCGCAUGCAUCCCAGAGCAUUUUGUUGAUGAUGCAAUGGAUUUACUUAUUUUAACUUCUCGAAUCCCAAGAGCUUUGGAAGGGUUUGUGCUGGAUGAUUUUUUGAAUUUUAUUAUCAUGUUCAUGGCAAGUCCAUCUUAUAUCAAAAAUCCUUAUCUGAAAGCCAAGAUGGUUGAAGUGUUGAAUUGCUGGAUGCCGCAAAGAAGUGGCUUAUCUUCUACUGCCUCCCUUUUUGAAGGGCACCAACUAUCUCUUGACUACCUAGUUAGAAACCUUCUAAAACUUUAUGUGGACAUUGAAUUUACUGGCUCUCAUACGCAGUUCUUUGACAAGUUCACUAUUCGCCACAAUAUUGCUGAACUUCUUGAAUAUCUAUGGAAUGUGCCUAGCCAUCGUAAUGCAUGGAGACAGAUUGCUAGAGAAGAGGAGAAAGGAGUUUAUUUGAAUUUUUUGAAUUUCCUUAUCAAUGAUAGCAUUUAUCUUCUUGAUGAGAGUUUGAAUAAAAUUCUUGAACUCAAAGAAAUAGAAGCAGAAAUGGCUAAUUCUGCAGAAUGGGAAAGAAGGCCAGCUCAAGAGAGGGAGGAGAGAAUGCGCCUUUUUCAUUCGCGAGAAAAUAUUGUUCGAUUUGACAUGAAGUUGGCAAAUGAGGAUGUUGGAAUGCUUGCGUUCACAUCUGAACAAAUUCCUGCUCCUUUUCUUCUUCCAGAAAUGGUAGAAAGGGUGGCAAGCAUGUUGAACUACUUCCUUUUGCAACUUGCCGGCCCUCAACGAAAAUCUCUCAGUGUAAAGGAUCCAGAAAAAUAUGAGUUUAGACCAAAGCAAUUGCUAAAGCAAAUUGUCGAGAUCUACAUCCAUAUUGCAAGGGGUGACAAGGAAAACAUCUUUCCUGCUGCAAUCUCAAAGGAUGGGCGCUCUUAUAAUGAAAAACUAUUUGCUUCUGCAGCUAAUAUUUUGCGGAAAAUUGGUGAAGAUGGAAGGGUAAUUCAGGAGUUUGUUCAGCUUGGGGUCAAAGCCAAAGAAGCAGCUUCUGAAGCAAUGGAUACUGAGGCCGCCCUUGGCGAAAUACCUGAUGAAUUCCUUGACCCAAUUCAGUACACGUUGAUGAAGGAUCCCGUCAUCUUACCCUCAUCAAGGGUAACUAUAGAUCGAGCAGUCAUCCAAAGACACUUGCUUAGCGAUAAUACUGAUCCAUUUAACCGUUCUCCUCUCACUCAAGACAUGCUAAUACCCAACACCGAGCUUAAGUUAAGAAUUGAGGAGUUCAUCAGAUCCCAAGUGCUGAGGAAGCACAGCCAAGGAAACUCGAUCACUGGAGGAGCUGCUGAACAAGCUGAUGGUGUAACUUAUACAGAAGAGUGAUCCCAAAAGUGUCGAAAUUGGUUUUGCAUGUCCAAGGACAGCAGGGUUGGUUAUCAAUUUGAAUUCCUCUUUGGCAAGCAAUUUUGCAGCAAUUAUGAUUUCUUUGAUCGCCACUGGUGUUUGUUCGCACUUCAGCUUGCAAAUAUGUGCCGGUUGCCAUCAAACAGCAGAAUCAGAACCCUCGGAUAUGGACACAUCCAACAAAAUCGGAAAAUAACAUGUCCCGCAGGGCUAUCGGAACAGAUACAAAAUCAGUCCACAAAAACUCCCCUCGAUAUGCUGUUCAAACAUUGCAGUGAAUUUGAAAAAGCUUGCACCAGAUCAUAUGAAUACGUGCCAUCAUCAAAGAGUCAUCAGGUUGUCAGCUUAUUUUAUCACCAGAGAAUUAUUUUAAAACUGCUAAAAAAAAUAGUAAGAGUUGCAUAUUUCUUGGCUCGCAAACGAUUGUUUCUUUGAAAUGGGCAUCCCUGGGCUAGAUACCAGGGUCGACCUUCUGUCUGAAAUAUCUGUCUUCUAUAAUGCCUUUUGAUGGGAUCUCAUGACUCAGAAACUACAAAGAGUUAACUAUAUAAUUUCAUCCUUUUAUUUGAAUAUAAUGUACAGUCGAAGCAAUUUCAGGUAAGAGGUACCUAUAGAAUCUAAUAUUCAAGGAACAGGCAAGUACCUGAUGAAUGAACAACUUUAUCGAUAGGUUGGAACAUGGACGGUUGGACUGAUGGUGCGACUAAUCCAAGUAACUCCGAUGCAUCUGUUGUUAAAUUGGGAACUGGAUGUAUUUUCUAGGAAAUUGUUCAGACUCUACAGUAUGUAGAUUGCUUGUUUUAUUGUCAUUAACAAAUCGAUAAUGCAAAGCAAAGCGGAAGCUGUUUGAGGAAGCCAGAUGCCUGAUGUCUUGCAUGUUUCAAUUGUCCUCCAUGUAGAAACUGCACCAAGUUUGCAAUAUCGAUAUGACAUCAUAAUUUAGGCACUGAUAAAUAAUUACAAAUAAUUGUAAGGACUUUUUAAUAAGUUUUACCCGACACAAUGCGCAAAAUGUCUGUAGUCCAUGUUAUAUUAGAGUGAAGUCAGGAAGCCUAUUAAAUUCUUUUCCUCACCAUACUCCUUGUCUGCAGAUAUAGAAAUUGCUGAGAGAUCGAUGAAUGAAUGAUUAU